rnacentral:lncRNA from 1 species
UGGUAGCAAAAGGCUUCUCUAUCUCAGAGUGAAAGGCAGAUAAUACAAUGUCUUUGUAUGAACAGCAUUGCUAUGUGGUUGGGAAACAUGGGCUGUGGACAUGCGAAGACAGGUAAGAAACGAAACUAGCAUGCUCUAAUGGAUGUGCAGUGCCAGUGUGCAUGUGCAGCAAAGUACAAGACCAGGCAUAAGCAGCAUCGGAUGUGAUGUGUAGGAGAGAAGAUAGCACUCAUAUAUGGUUAUGUAAUGUGGGUGGAUGAGGACAGCUGUAUAAAGAAGUGUUGAUCGCUAAAUGUGGAAGGAACAUGUAGAAGAGUAAGACCUAGGUAAACAUGGACAAAGUGGUGAAGACUGAGGAGAAGGUGGGGGACUGAGAUGUUAUAGCGAUUGCUGAGCUCGAGAAGACCCCUCCAUCUCAGUAGAAUUGAGGUUCUGUCAACCCUUCCCCAACAACUCAUCUUUUGACACCCACUCUUCAAUCAGUCUUCUAUGUUACCUUAUUACCUUCACUUCCCCCUACACUCAACUGAUGUCCUUUACAUCCAACUCCUUUCCUAUCUCUAAUCAUCUCUCACUAUUUUCACUCAUAGCAUUUACUUACACAUCCACUUCUUCUGCUCUUCUAUCCUGUUCUCUCUCAUGUUCACAUCAGACCUAGAACUCCCAUCUCUUUCUUUCUCUCACUUUCCAGGUGGGCAAGCCCUCUAUUCACCACUUCAGCAAGACACCUGCUCCUUGUCCCUCCUUCAUAGUUUCUUAUCUCUCCAGUCUAUAUCCCUCUUACUUGGGGCUUCUUGUGUUGUGGGUACAGGGUGAUCUCACUGAUGCUGGUGCUACAUAAAAUGCACCCAGUACACUCUGCCAAGUGCUUGGCCAUAGGAAGGGCAUCCAGUUGCAAAAACCAUGCUAAAGCAGACACAGAAUGUGGUGCAGUUCCUUGGCUCGUCUGUCCUUGUCAAUCUGUCCAACUCAGGCUAUCAUGGAAAAAAGGACUUUAAAUGAUGAAUUUUCUAAUUUCAUUUCUAAUUCGCCAACCAUUUCAGCUAUUAGAACAAGGUCGUCAGCAUAGAGAAGUUCCCAUGAGCAACCAGUCUGGAAUUCUUCUGUUAUGGCCUGGAGGAUUAUGAUAAAUAGGAAGGGACUGAGGAUCAGACCCUGAUGAAUCCCUACUUGCAUAAUAAAUUUUCAUCACUGCACUCAUUGUUAACUCUUUCUCUUCAGAAUCAUUGAGUGCAAGUGUACCAUUAUCCUUCCAUACUCUUGUCUCCUACAACACCUCAAGUUUCUCUGACGCACUGCCUUGCAAUCGGGAACCCCUCAUGCUUUUUAUUCCUCACACUGUAGAACAUUGGCAAACCCCCUUCUUUUCUGUCUCCUCCCUUGCUAAAUAGACCUGUCUUACAGCUUCUGAUAGGAGGAGCGGGGCAGCGAGGAAAGUCAAUUACAGCACCCCCAGAGCGCUCAACUGGUCCUUAUUUUAUCAAUCCCAAAGGGAGGAGGGGCAAAGUCAAUCCCUGCAAAAUUUGAACUCAGAACAUAAAGAUGGAUGGAAAAAUAUGUAUGUAUAUAUAUAUAUAUAUAUAUGUAUAUGUAUAUAUGUAAAUAUAUAAAUGUGUGUGUGUAUAUAUAUAUACAUAUAUAUACACACACACAUAUAUAUAUAUAUAUAUAUAUACACACACACAUGCAGUCAUAUCUAUAUAUACAGACAGAGAUACAUACAUGUGUGUGUGUGUAUGUGUAUAUAUUCUGAUAUAUGUAUAUAGCUAUCGCUUUUAGUAAAACCACCAACCUUUACCUCCACCUCCACCACCUCCAAUACCACCAUCUCCAAUACCACCAUCUCCAAUACCACCACCAUCUCCAACACCACCAUCUCCAACACCAACACUACCAUCACCACUAACCACUACAGCCAAUACCAGCAUUACCACCAUAAAUUUCUUCCUCAAUUACCAAACCAUCUCACAGUUCGGUUAACAGAAAGUCUGCGGAAAAAAACAGAAAGCUAUUAUCAGUCUAGAAUUACAGCAGAAUUCAAUAUACUAAUGUGUAUAUUUAUAUUCUUCACUUCUUUUAAUGGUUCCUGCCAAUUUAGUGUGGCCACAGUGGGACAUCACCUUUAAAAAAUAUAUAUAAAUUUACUGCUUGAUGCUAAAACUCUGAAACCAUUCUGGCAAUGAAGAAAGUGGUAUGUUAGGAGUGUCGGUCCAUGUUAGGUCUUGUACCAAAUUCUAAGUACAUAAAAAGCCUGUUAUUGGUGCAUCUGUACUGAGGAAUAUAAUGGAGACUUAAUUUCAUAAAUUCAUAUAGAUGUGCAAAUAUGGUGUGGGUGUGGCUGGGUGGGUAAGAUGCAUGUUUCCCAACCACGUGGUCUUGAGUUCAGUCCUGCUGUGUGGAGUUUUGGGUAGGUGUCUUCCAUUAUUUAUAGUUCUUGGCUGACCAAAGCCUUCAGAGUGGACUUAGUUGAUGGAAACAGUGAUGAAGUAUGUUAUGUGUGUUCCCAGCCAAAUGGUUCUGGGUUCAGUCCCACUGCCUGGCACCUUGGGCAAGUGUCUUUUACUCUGACAUUGGCCAACCAAAGCCUUGUGAAUGGAUUUGGUAGACAGAAACUGAAAGAAGCCCAUCGUAUAUAUAUAUAUAUAUGUAUGUAUGUAUGUAUUUGUGUGUCUGUGUUUGUCCUCCCACCAUCGCUUGCCAACUGAUGUUGGUGUGUUUACAUCCCCGUAACUUAGAAGUUCAAUAAAAGAUACCGAUAGUAUAAGUACUAGGCUUACAAAGAAAAAGUCCUGGGGUUGAUUUGUUCGACUAAAGGUAGUGCCCCAGCAUGGCCGCAGCCCAAUGACUGAAACACUUGAAAGAUAAUACACACACACACACACACACACCUGCAUACAUACAUACAUCAUACAUAUGCAUCGAUUAUGCAUGCAAUAUGUCUGUCUGUCUGUCUGUCUGCCUCUCUCUCUCUCUACCCCUGCAAUCUACCCAACAGCCUAUCAUCUCUCUUGUUCAUCUCCUGUCUACUACGUCACCAUUGUUCUUCUUCAUUUCCUUUCUGCACUGUCAAUCACCUCCUCCCCUCCCUUACCCCCCACCCCACAACUCAUGCAUCAUUAGUCACCUCCAUCCUCUUCACCAUUCACCACAUCCACCCGUCAAUCCUACCCAAUCUUUUCCAGUUGUUGCCAACCUACUCUCUGCAUACACAUUCUUGCAGCCUCCUCCAUCCACCCAACAUCCUGGCUCCUCUGUGUCUUCAGUUUCCACCCAGACUCUUCAUCACCCCCGUCUUUAUGUCUCCCCCACCCCUCCACCAAUUAUUUCCACCCUCUCUUCUAAAAUGCAAGUUGUUACGUCACUCCUUUACAGCAAGGAACCUCUUCUGCUUUGGCCCCUUCCCAUACCGUGACCCCUUGUUUCUUUGCAUAGAGUCCGCUUGACAUUCUUGGGGUUAAAUCCUCGGGGUUCAUAGUUUUGCCAGCUGCAUAGGGAUGUUACAAGUGCUGGUAGCCCCCCCCCCCCCCAAAAAAAAAUGCACCCAAUACACACUGCAAAAGAAUUGGCGUAACGGAGGGCAUCUAGUUGUGGAAACCAUGUCGAAAUGGACAGUGGAAAAUGAUGCAGUUCUUGAAUCUAUCAAAUUUUGUCCAAACUGUCCAAUUGAUGCCAGCAUAGAACAUGGACAUUUAAAUGACAAUGAUGAUGAGGAUGGUGAUGAUGAUUAUGACAAUGAUGAUGAUGAUGUAUGUAAUAUAUCCAGAUUAUAAAUUCAUGCUUAUAUCAAUCAUUAACACCUGUGGACAUAGUUACAAAGUCAGAAAACAGCACAGCUCCCAUGACUUUAGGAAACAUUUUUUCACGCUGAGAGUUGCUGAAGCAUGGAACAAACUGCCAGCAUCAGUUGUUAGUUGUCGGAGCACUGCAUCCUUCAAAACUUCCAUGCUUUCUGAGAUUCGCCAACACUACAACUGAUUUUCUCCCCUCCAUACACACACAAGCAUGUAUCUGACUCAUACAUUGUUCGCUUUCCAGACAUUUGUACAUUACUGCAUAUAGUUUGUAUGCACUUUCUGACAAGUUAUGGUGCACCUGAGCACUGUAUACAAUAAUUUCAUUAUUAUUAUUAUUAUUAUUAUUAUUAUUAGUGGCAUAAAUGUGAAUUUAUAAUCAGGAUAAAGAAGCUGGUGGUUUUGAAUCAGCCAUUGUUAGCUUCCGUCUCCUUGAUUUUCAAAGAGACAUUCACAUCAGCAGGACAGCUGACCUUUACUACGGGACAUACUUUUUCUUGUCUGUCCCUUGUCUGUCUGUCUCUGUGUUAUUAUUAUUCAGUUUUAUUUCAACGUUUCCGUUCCAAUAGACAAGGAACCAUUUUCUAACCUAGAUGCCAGUACCGCCUGACUGGCUCUUGUGCCGGUGGCAUGUAAAAAGCACCCACUACACUCUCGGAGUGGUUGGUGUUAGGAAGGGCAUCCAGCUGUAGAAUCUCUGCCAAAUAAAGAUUGCAGCCUGGUGCAGCCAUCUGGUUCGCCAGCUCUCAUUGAAAAUCGUCCAACCCAUGCUAGCAUGGAAAGGGGAUGUUAAAUGAUGAUGAUGAUGAUGAUGAUGAUGAUGAUGAUCCAAGGCUUCUUCACUGGAAUUUCAACAAUAUCAACAGGGUAUUUAUGCAUGUAUGUAUGUGUAUAUGUGCAGUGUUUGGAGUCAGUGCAUGUGCACAUUUGCAUGCUUUGUUUUAUGCAUGUAUUCUCAUGCAUAUAAUUGCAUGUCUACACAUGCACAUAUAUUCUUAAAUAUUGAACUUCUGAAAAUUUUUACGAAUUCUUACAGUUCCAGUGUUGACUGUAGGAAUGGUUUGUAUGCAUGUAUGUGUGUGUGUGUGUGCAUGCAUGUAUGUAUGUAUGUAUGUAUGCGUGUGUGUUUGUAUGUACGUAUAUGCAUGUAUGUAUGUAUGUAUCUAUAUAUGUAUGUACAUACGUAUGUGUAUGUAUGUAUGUAUGUAUGCAUGUAUGUAUGUAUAUGCAUGUAUGUAUGUAUAUAUGUAUGUAUGUACGUAUGUAUGUAUAAAUAUGUAUGUAUGCACGUAUGUAUGUAUAUGCAUGUAUGUAUGUAUAUAUGUAUGUAUGUACGUAUGUAUGUAUAAAUAUGUAUGUAUGCACGUAUGUAUGUAUAAAUAUGUAUGUAUGAAUGUAUAUGCAUGUAUGUGUGUGUGAAUGUAUGAAUGUAUUUAUAUGCAUGUAUGUAUGUGUGUGUGUGUAUAUAUGUACGUAUGUUUAUAUAUAUGCAUGUAUGUAUGUAUAUGCAUAUAUGUAUGUAUAUGCAUAUAUGUAUGUAUGUAUAUGCAUAUAUGUAUGUAUAUGCAUAUAUGUAUGUAUGUAUGUAUGUAUAUGCAUGUGUGUAUGUAUAUGUAUGUAUAUCUGCAUGUCUGUUGAAACAAUUCCAGUUCAAAAACAGAGACUACCAAUUCCUAACUAGUUUAAUGAAUCCUGUUGCCCCUGACCACCACCACCACCAUGCCAACCACGCCGACCUCGCCCACCACUACCUCCACCUCUCCACAAGUUCAUCAUUUAUAUUGCGUUCACAAAUAGAUUCUAACUCCUGGCUGUGUAAAUCACUACUUUGUAAUUCAGUGGCAAAUGGAGAAAUUCUCCAUUUUUUUUUUAACCUGUUGAUUAUCAAAUCAAUGUUAUUUGAAUAAAGAAAUUAUCAUCGUCAUCAUCAUCGUCCCCCCUAUCAUCAUCAUCAUCGUCGUCAUCAUCAUCAUCGUCCCCCCUAUCAUCAUCAUCAUCAUCAUCAUCAUCGUCCCCCUAUCAUCAUCAUCAUCGUCCCCCCUAUCAUCAUCAUCAUCAUUGUUAUCAUCAUCAUCGUCAUCAUCAUCAUCGUCCCCCCUAUCGUCAUCACUGUCGUCGUCAUAAUUUUCACCGUUGUUGUUGGCAUUGUCAUCAUCAUCAUCAUCACCAUCAUUUUCAUCAUCAUCAUCAUUUUCAUCAUCAUCAUCAUCAGCACUACCACCACUACUACUGACACUGCUAUCAUCAUCAUCAUCAUCAUCACCACCACCACCAACAUUAUCAUGAUUGUCAUCAGCAUCGUCGCCAUCAUCAUCAUCAUCAUCAUCAUUAUCAUCACAACCACCAGCAGCAGCAGCAGCAGCACCACCACCACCACUACCCCCAUCACCACCACCACCACUACCAUGAUGAAGAUGAUCAUCAUCAUCAUUUUCAUCAUCUUGAUUGGAAUAGUGAAAUGGCAGAAUGGUUUGAGUGCCGACUACCAAAAUACCUUGUGGUAUUUAAUUUAGAUUCUUUAUUGAUAAAAUAGAGUACCAGUCAUAUACUGGGGUUAUUAUAACUCACAGUUUGCUUCCACAGAUUUCAGGCUUUGUUCGUAUGUUCAAAACAAUUAUUUCUCUGAUGGUGGCCACUUCCUCUGAUAUAUAUGUGUGUUUAUAUGUAUGUAUAUAAUAAGGUAGCGAGCUGGCAGAAACGUUAGCACGCUGGGCGAAAUGCGUAGCCGUAUUUCGUCUGUCGUUACGUUGUGAGUUCAAAUUCUGCCGAGGUCGACUUUGCCUUUCAUCCUUUCAGGGUCGAUAAAUUAAUUACCAGUUACGCACUGGAGUCGAUAUAAUCGAUUUAUCCCUUUGUCUGUCCUAGUUUGUCCCCUCUAUGUUUAGCCCCUUGUGGGCAAUAAAGAAAUAUAUAUGUAUGUAUAUAUAUUAUAAUAAUAUUAUGACAACAAAAGAAUGAAUGAGACCUUGAUAUCAUGUAAAAUAGAGGAAUUUAUCUAUAAAUAUAAUAUGUGAUAAUUAGUUGGUUGUCAUAAUAAAACUCAGAGUUUUGAAUACCGGGGCUGAAGUCUGCUCCAGUAUCUCAUCACUUAUUAGGACAAAGAGAUACUGGAGCAGACUUCAGCCCCAGUAUCCGAAACUCUGAGUUUUAAUUUGACAACCAACUAAUUGUCACAUAUUAUAUUUAUAGAUAUAUGUAGGUAUAGGAGUGGCUGUGUGGUAAGUAGCUUGCUAACCAACCACAUGGUUCCGGGUUCAGUCCCACUGCGUGGCACCUUGGGCAAGUGUCUUCUACUAUAGCCUUGGGCCAACCAAAGCAGUGUGAGUAGAUUUGGCAGACGGAAACUGAAAGAAGCCCAUUGUAUAUAUGUAUAUAUAUAUAUAUAUAUGGUGCGUGUAUGUUUGUGUGUCUGUCUUUGUCCCCCUAGCAUUGUUUGACAACCGAUGCUGGUGUGUUUAUGUCCCCGUAACUUAGCGGUUCGGCAAAAAGAGACCGACAGAAUAAGUACUGGGCUUACAAAGAAUAAGUCCUGGGGUCGAGUUGCUCGAUUAAAGGCGGUGCUCCAGCAUGGCCGCAGUCAAAUGACUGAAACAAGUGAAAGAGUAAAGAGAGAGAGUAUGUAUAUAUAUAUGUAUGUAUGUAUGUAUGUAUAUAUAUAUCUGUGUAUGUAUAUUUGUAUGUAUGUAGGUAUGUAUGUAUGUAUAUAUAU